rfam:Prunus persica cultivar Lovell chromosome G8, whole genome shotgun sequence.
ACGCAUGUGAUGAGUUAACUCGGAUUCCCCUUCAGGAUGUCAUGUAUGAUGUGAGCUCGAGUUUUCUGAUGCG